GUUAGAUGAUUAACAUACAAAUUCUCAGCAUUCUUCCAGCUGCUGUCCCACUGCUUUGUGUCACUGUCUGCUUACGACAGUUUACGCUUCUCUUUCUUUUUCCUGUCUUUCUGUGUCUCACUCUCUUUCUUAACUCUUUUUCUCUGACCCCUCCUCUUUCUGUUCGCCCUCUCUCGCUACAGCAUGUCCCUCCCUUCCUCUUUCUGUGUCUCUACACCCCCCUCCCUCCCCUCCCUUUUCUCCCCUUCCCUCUUGGCAGCAGUGCCAAAGUGGGCAGGCGAACCGAGGCAAACACAGCACAGGGCAGAGCAGAGGGCGAUCCAAAGGCUGGCGAAUUGAUUAUGUGUAUGUUUGUGUUUUGAAGUGUCCUCUGUCCGUCUGUCUGAUUGUCUGUUUGUCUCCGCUUUGGUCAUACGCAACUGCAAGUAAUGGCUGUGUGCGAGCAGACGUCCCUGUGUCACCCUGUGUACGGACAGACGCACUCACGCCAGUAGGAGGGGAUUGUGGGAAGGGGGUGUAGCUCUCAGAGGGUGUGCUCUACUCCUCUCUUUUCCCUUCUUCCCGCCAUCACGGCCCUCUUCUCCUCCAGUCCUCCGGCCCAGCCCGCCGCUCACGUACAGGCUCCAGGAGAGUUACCUUUGUGGAUCUUUGAUGCUGAAACAACGUGGAUGCUGUCCUUGGGGCUGAGGUAGUAGAUUGAAUAGUUGUGGGGUUGUGUGACCUCUUUUUGAGAUAACUAUACAAUCUACUGUCUUUCCCAAGGAGACAGCUGAGUCAGCCACUCGCCGACUGUCAUCUCCAGAUGGGCAAUCAUGCUGUCCAAUCAAAACAUACGCUUGCAGCAAUCAACAUAAUGCACUGUGACAAGCAUUGUUCUUUUUGCUAGAGCAGGUGAAAUAGGUUUCAUGUUCCCUAACAGGACGUGAACGUGUGGUGUGUUUGAUUUGGGCUCUGUCAGGGUGAGGUAGUAGGUUGUAUAGUUUGGUGGGUGGGAUUGCACCCUGCUCAGGUGAUAACUAUACAGUCUAUUGCCUUCCCUGAGGAGCUCACUGAACACUCAUGAAUGUUCGACACACUCACAUGGCUAAUUUAUUCUCAGAUCUCAGGAAAGAAAUGAGCGAGUAUCUAUGUGUGCUGCUAAAAGUUAGCGAUGCAUUGAUUGAAGCUGUCAGUGAGUAACUCAAAAAUAUGUACAUCUCAAUAAAGUCAUACUUGCCUCAAAUCAGUUGUCCAAAAAUCAGUGAAAGAGAUCUUGAAAUUGUUUGUUCCUCACCUACUGCAGAUGAUGAUGGUGUCAUGGUUUGUGUACGACAGCAGCUGUUAAGUUUGUUAGUCUAGAGCCCCCUCCAGUGGAGACUCAUGAGAUAGCUUUGACUUAAAUAAAGUUUGCAGACAAGGGGUAAGCGACCGAAUAACAUGGCGGACAAAGAGUAUGCAGGCGUUCAUUCAAUAAAACUACAAAUGUUUCACAUGAAGGAUUUCACUUAAACACUCACUGGCUGCCUGUAUUUUUGCCAUUGUUUAUCUGUAAUAAAACCUUAAAUGAU